rnacentral:miRNA from 1 species
AUGAGCCACCUGAGGGCUUGUUAAAAUGCAGACUUUCAUGCAAUUGCUUUGGGGUGGGGCAUGAAGUUCUGCAUUUCUAAUAAGUUCUCAUUGAGAUUAAU